rnacentral:lncRNA from 14 species
GGUGACCAGGACGCUCCCGUUUCCAUUUCAGACUUCGCUUUACAGCACCUUGCAGACCUAAGGAAAUUAGACAUAUCAUGUAACAAAGAGAUCGGGGGUGGCUUUAAAGACUCAACAGCUCAUUUGGCCACCUUGAAAAAUCUCGAAGUCCUUGAUCUCCACCAGUGCUGUGUAACAGAAGAGGACAUGACCAUUUUGGGCCAGGUGAUACCUCUACUCUCCAGUCUUCAAGAGCUGAAUUUAUCCUCAAAUAAAAAUGUAGGCAUCUCAUCUGGACCUCUUCUGGGCAGGCUCAGGUUUUUACCAAAGUUGAAAUCUGUGUCCAUCAGCAAUUGUGGUUUAGGUGAAGAGUCGUUUUCAUCACUAGGUAGGAAUGUUUUUUUAAAGAGUGUGUAUUCUCUGUGUAUCCUUGUGGGAUAGGUACUUCAUUCUCCAUUGGCUGAACUCCAGAGAUCACGGCUACAUUAUACCACAGGUCCCAGCUGAAAAAGCUUGUGAUGAAACCAGUGUUUCAUGAGACCCAACUGCAAGGGAAGACCAUUGUGUGUCUUCCCCCAUUAUACCUGACUGGAUGAAGUCCUUUUAGUCUUUUGUCUGAUAGUGAGCUUUUGAAUACUUCCUAAUUUGGGAAGAGAAAGGAAAACAUGAUUUUAUAUUAUGCUGUAAUUAUAGUUUGGUUGUAACACGGCAUUUGCAGUUUAAUGGGGUAAAGUUCUGACUGAAGGUUUUUCACCUCACUGCUGGUGAAAGUUUCAAUAGAAACUCUCUGGAAUACAGUUAAGUAUGGGGUAGUGGAGGAACUGAAGCAAUGGCUGCUUAGUAGAAAAGAGACUGCAUAGCUAUGAAGAAAAGUCCAGUCUAACGUGGGACAUGUAAAUUCAGCCUCUUUUGCCUACUUAUUGCAAAUCCCAGUGGAUUAGUGGCUACACUGUACUUUUGAUAGGUGUUCCAUAUGGCACAUGAAAUCUAAGUACCCCUAAGAGGGAUCAGUUAGUUACCAGAAAAUGCACUUACAUUUUGUACUGUUUACUAGUGACAUUGAAACCUGUAGUAAAACUUGACUGCCUUCAGCAGAAGCAGUAGCAAGCUAAAUUGGUCUGAGGUCCCUGCAGGAAAAGUACUAUAUUUAUAUCAUUACAAUUAUGUAAGAGUGACAUCAUGGAAACUGGUGUUGUCAAAAGAUACAGAGCAUUUCACCUUGCAUGGUGAGUUCACAGCAAGAAUUUGCUAUCUUCAAAUUGAUAUAAAAUGGUUUAAAAACAAGCUGUUAAGUUAAAUUGGCUUCAGUGGGACAAGGUCAAGCCAAUAACAUAAACAGAAAGACAAGAAACCCCUCCACAGAGUUCUUAUAGAUUCUGUACGCAGGCCCUUCUUAUAUUCUUUAUUCUGUCUUUUAUUAGGAUGAAAUAAGUCAUUCUCA